AUGUAUAGAAAAAGGAAAUUUCUCACUGAAGCUGACCUGUCAAAUAUUUCUCUCUUAAAAAUUGUUUGCAGCAUCAGUGCCAGCAGUAGUUCCCAAGGGCUGUCUCAGCCUUCCACCCAGACAACUCAGUAUCUGAGAGCUGACACACCCAACAAUGCAACUCCUAUCACCAGUUAUCCUACCUUGCGGAUAGAGAAGAACGACCUGAGAAGUGUCACUCUUUUGGAGGCCAAAGCCAAGGUGAAGGAUAUAGCAAUAUCCAGGGAGAGGAUAACUCUAAAAGAUGUGCUCCAAGAAGGUAUUUAUUAUCUCAGAAUCAGUUUUGUGACUAAGAAUUAAUGUUACCACUACAAACAUUUUUUUUCAAAUAAUUUAAAAAAUUCCAUCUCAUUUUAUGUCUCAGAUAAGGAUAGAAGGCAGUGUAUAAUUUAUUUCUUGUAUACAAAUGAUUUUCAUUUUUCCUUUCUUUAGACUUUAAAAUGCCUUAUACAGCUUGGGUGCACUUCUUGAUUUUCAAGUAUGUCAAAGCGCAUAUAUUAGUGUUUGUUACUUUUUUUUAAGGUAUAUUUUUUGUUCUUAUUUAAAGUGAUCACUCCCUAGCAGAUCUCCUCGAAAUAGAAGUGUUUUAUUCUUGACAGAUAAUGUGAGGGUUCUAGCAGAAGGAACAUGCAUGGGCUUUGGAGUUAGACUCUAGUUACAGUCCCACAAUGUAUUACUUGUGUGACCUUAGAGAAAUUGCUUAAUGUCUUUGAUCUCCAGUUUCCUCUUCUUUAAAUUUAGACUGCACUGUUAACUCUUAUUAGACUAGUUAUGAAGAUUAGAUGAAAUGAUGUACAGUAAAUGAACUCACAUAUAGUAGCAUUUGAUAGAUAUUGGUAUCCUUCCCAUUUCUUCUUGCUGGCCUUUCUAUUUUGAGUUUUAGGGAAAUGCUAAAAGAAGAGGACAGAAAUUAAUAAAAAAUACUAUAUAUAGCUCUUCAAAUUGUUAAAUAGUUACUUUUUUACCCCUGCUGUAAUUCAGUUUGGAAUAUUUUAUUUUAUUUUAUUUUAUUUUAUUUUAUUUUAUUUUAUUUUAUUUUAUUUUAUAGACAGAGUCUUGCUUUGUUGCCCAGGCUAGAGUGAGUGCCAUGCAGCCUAGCUCACAGCAACCUCAAACUCUUGGGCUCAAGCAAUCCUGUUGCCUCAGCCUCCCAAGUAGCUGGGACUAUAGGCAUGCACCACCAACUAAUAUUUUCUAUAUAUAUUAGUUGGCCAAUUAAUUUCUUUCUAUUUAUAGUAGAGACAGGGUCU
rnacentral:lncRNA from 1 species